AUAGCCUUAGGAAUUUAUUUAAGGUUUAGCCUGCCCAAUGUUUAAAUUAAUGGCCGCAGUACCUUAACUGUGCAAAGGUAGCAUAAUCAAUUGGCUUUUAAAUGGAGUCUUGUAUGAAAGGAGUGACGUGGUAAAGCUGUCUCAAUUUUGUUUUAUUUAAUUUACUAAAAAGGUGAAAAAUCCUUUAAUUAUGAAAAAAGACGAGAAGACCCUUAGAGUUUUUAUAAAAGUUUAUAAUAUAAGCUAAGUAUUUGUUGGGGCGACAAGGAAACAAAUAACUUUCCUGUUUUACUAGACGUGUUUUCAAAGUAAGAUUAAACUACCUAAGGGAUAACAGCAUAAUUCUUUUUGAGUUUGUGACCUCGAUGUUGGACUAGGAACUAACCAGACAAGCCGUCUGGCUUUGUGGCUCUGUUCGAGCUU
rnacentral:rRNA from 1 species